rnacentral:lncRNA from 1 species
CAAAGAAGAGGAAGGCAACCAAGGAUGAAUCAAGAACUUCCAAAGGUGAAACGGCAAAUUGGGCUUUGACAGGCUUCGACUACAAGGUAAGUAACUCAACUCUCAUGAAUUAUUUCGAAAUUACAUGAUGCUCUUCAUAAUACAUUUUCUUUUUAAUAUAGAAUUAAUUUUCUUGAAAAUUACAUGUUAAAAAAAAAUGAUGAAAAUGCAAAAUUU